rnacentral:rRNA from 1 species
GAUGAACGCUGGCGGCGUGCCUAAUACAUGCAAGUCGAGCGAACAGACGAGGAGCUUGCUCCUCUGACGUUAGCGGCGGACGGGUGAGUAACACGUGGAUAACCUACCUAUAAGACUGGGAUAACUUCGGGAAACCGGAGCUAAUACCGGAUAAUAUAUUGAACCGCAUGGUUCAAUAGUGAAAGACGGCUUUGCUGGCACUUAUAGAUGGUUCCGCGCCGCAUUAGCUAGUUGGUAAGGUAACGGCUUACCAAGGCAACGAUGCGUAGCCGAACUGAGGGGGUGAUCGGCCACACUGGAACUGAGACACGGUCCAGACUCCUACGGGAGGCAGCAGUAGGGAAUCGUCGGCAAUGGGCGAAAGCUUGACGGAGCAACGCCGCGUGAGUGAUGAAGGCCUUCGGAUCGUAAAACUCUGUUAUUAGGGAAGAACAAAUGUGUAAGUAACUAUGCACGUCUUGACGGUACCUAAUCAGAAAGCCACGGCUAACUACGUG